rnacentral:rRNA from 1 species
CCUACGGGAGGCAGCAGUAGGGAAUCUUCCACAAUGGACGAAAGUCUGAUGGAGCAACGCCGCGUGAGCGAUGAAGGCCUUCGGGUCGUAAAGCUCUGUUGUUAGGGAAGAACAAGUAUCGGAGUAACUGCCGGUACCUUGACGGUACCUAACCAGAAAGCCACGGCUAACUACGUGCCAGCAGCCGCGGUAAUACGUAGGUGGCAAGCGUUGUUCGGAAUUAUUGGGCGUAAAGCGCGCGCAGGCGGUCCUUUAAGUCUGAUGUGAAAGCCCACGGCUCAACCGUGGAGGGUCAUUGGAAACUGGGGGACUUGAGUGCAGAAGAGGAAAGCGGAAUUCCACGUGUAGCGGUGAAAUGCGUAGAGAUGUGGAGGAACACCAGUGGCGAAGGCGGCUUUCUGGUCUGUAACUGACGCUGAGGCGCGAAAGCGUGGGGAGCAAACAGGAUUAGAUACCCUGGUAGUCCACGCCGUAAACGAUGAGUGCUAAGUGUUAGGGGGUUUCCGCCCCUUAGUGCUGCAGCUAACGCAUUAAGCACUCCGCCUGGGGAGUACGGCCGCAAGGCUGAAACUCAAAGG